UUUGGUCCUGACCUUAAAGUCAGCUAUCACUCAACUUAUACAUGCAAGCAUCCACACACCUGUGAAAACGCCCUUAAUCCCUUACAGGGACAAGGAGCUGGUAUCAGGCACAAUAAUUAGCCCAAAACACCUAGCUAUGCCACACCCACAAGGGACUCCAGCAGUAACCAACAUUGAACAUAAGCGACAGCUUGAUUCAGUCAGAGUGAAGAGGGCCGGCAAAUGUGGUGCCAGCCGCCGCGGUUAUACCACACGACCCAAGUUGACCUCACAGCGGCGUAAAGCGUGAUUAAAGUUACCCUACCACUAUAGUUAAACUACAAAUUAGCUGUAAAACGCUUUUUACCUAGUAAACCCAAAGACGAAAGUUACUAUACACAAAACAACUUGAAUUCACUACAGUUAGGACACAAACUAGGAUUAGAUACCCUACUAUGCCUAACCAUAAACCUUUAACCUACACCAACAUCGCCAGGUAACUACGAGCAAAGCUUAAAACCCAAAGGACUUGACGGCCCCCCACAUCCCCCUAGAGGAGCCUGUCCUUUAAAUCGAUAGUCCCCGCUUAACCUCACCAUUUUUAGCCCCCAGUCUGUAUACCUCCGUCGUCAGCUUACCGCAUGAGCGACAUAA
rnacentral:rRNA from 1 species